AAAUUGAAGAGUUUGAUCAUGGCUCAGAUUGAACGCUGGCGGCAGGCCUAACACAUGCAAGUCGAACGGUAACAGGAAGAAGCUUGCUUCUUUGCUGACGAGUGGCGGACGGGUGAGUAAUGUCUGGGAAACUGCCUGAUGGAGGGGGAUAACUACUGGAAACGGUAGCUAAUACCGCAUAACGUCGCAAGACCAAAGAGGGGGAGCUUCGGGCCUCUUGCCAUCGGAU
rnacentral:rRNA from 1 species